rnacentral:lncRNA from 1 species
CUGCUCGUAUCUUCAGAUGUCACAACAUCGGAGUGGUUCAUGAGAUAAGAUAAAUGAAACUAGUUAGGAACUCCCUUACUAUGUAUAUCAUUCCUAUCUCAAUGCUAUCCCAUCACUCAUCUUCUAUAUACUCCAACUAUCUCAAUCUCCUAAGUAUAUACAUAUAUCCUAAGAAAUCACAAAUCCUAUUCUCGACUUAUCACUCAAGUAGGGCUAGACUAAUAGCAAUCAAGCACAUAGACAUACAUAGACACAUAAGGCACAUAGAAUCACAUAUAUAAGUUAUCACAUUCAAACACCAUUCUGCACUGUCCUAAACCAAAAAUUUAAUCCGUUUCACCUCGGACCUCUCCUAGGUUUGAGACUCAUAUCAUUGGAAAUCUAUUUGAGUCUAGUCUAUUUAAAAAAAAAGUAGGUUGAAAAACACCAAGUGGUUUAAGAGAUAUGGCUGUUCUCCUAUAGUCUACCAUAUCCGGCAGUUUUGUGCAACCAAAAGUUUUGAUUUUUGAAAAAUAGUAACCAUUGAAGAAAUGGCUUGAAAUUUGGUGGAUAGCUAACUAACACAAUAAAUACUCUACCAUAAAAAGUUGGAGGGUAAAACUUUACGGGAAGCUACUGAGAAGGGUGAUUCUAGUGUCUGCCUUUCGAAAUUUUCGGUAGAAAGUUUCAGUUGGAGUUCUAUAUUUUAGAAAAAUAGUAAAUGAAGUCCAAAUAAUUUGAAAUUUUACAAGAAUGUUUAAGACUCUCACAUAUAAUUACCACAAAAUUUGCAAGACUUUUGGGUAAUAACAUCACAUCUAAAACAGUAGGUCAGUAGCCUUUAGAAAGGUCUCAAAUUAAUUCCAAACUUGAACAUAAAAGCAAUGGUACCUAAACUCCGGAUUUCUUCGAUGAAAAAUUCUCAAAAAUUCAAAUUAAGCUCUUAUAUGUUUAUAACACCCAAGAACAUAAAUACAUGAUCAAUCUACUCAAGAAAAAUCAAACUCGACUUCCCUUUUUCAACAUCAUACUCGAUUCUCAAUCAUUAUUUUAAGAAAUGAUCCGUUUCAUCUCUUAUCACAUAUACAUGCUCAAAUAAUCCUCAAAAAUAGCCAUAUAUGAUCACAUCUAUCUCAUAACUUAACACAUUAGGGAAGACUCCUCUUAUACAUGCAAACUAAACUCGGGGCAAAACCAUAUAUCAACAAAAAUUCUCAAUUCAAGUAUGGCAUAAUCAUAUAUAAAGUCCAAUUAGCACAUAGACAUCUUCAAACCAAUCAUUGACCUCAUAGAAUAAGAAUACCCAAAACCUAUGUAAACUAAACUCAAGUAAAUUCUCAAUAGGCAACAAUUUACCAACUUAAUCAUUAAUAAACACUAUUAGCAUGCUCAAUACUAUCAUUUAUCCUAAGCCAAUUCACAUAGUUAACACAUAGACAUGAAAAUCCUAAUUUCUGUUAAACUAAACUUUUUAAAAAAUCUACAAGCAUGACUAAAUCAUUAAUCCAACCUUAGAUCUAUCAAUUUAGGUUAUUUAAUCACAUAUAUAAACCAUCAAUUAGCAAUUUAAAGCAUAGAGACACAUAUACCUAAUUUUCAUCAAACUAUCUUUCAUCAAAAUUAAUAAUCCACUUCAAAUCAUCAAUCUACUCCAUCAAUUAUCAUAUUAGUCAUCUCAUAAGCUCAUACUCAUCAUCAAUUUAUCAUUUAAUCCAUAGACUCAAGAAUUUCUAAUUUUAGGCAAACUAACCUAAGAGAAAAUUCACAUCUCAUGACAAAGCUUCUCAAUACACAUAGGAAUCAUCUCAAAACAUCUCAAUAAACAUAAAUCUCAUGCCAAUUUAAGAAAAGAAUAAGAAAUUUUUUGAAGGGGAGAAUCCUAUAAUUUCGAAAAUCACAAGAAUAAACAAGGGUGAUGUUAUCUUGCUAGAUCUAUUAAAAUAUACUCAUAUCCAACAUCAACAAGCUUAGAUCUAAGUGAUUUCAACACUUACUCAAUGAUUUUGAAAGAAAUAAAAAUUCUUCUCUCUAACUUUAAGCUUGAAACUCCAUCAACCUAGCUCUUGAUUCAAAGGAAAAGAAGUUUUUGAUUUGAUUUAGUGAGAUCUAUGGUGGAGAUAUGAUCUUGGAAGCUUGGAGAUUGCUCAACAACGGUGGAAGUGAGAGAAAGAAGUGAGGGAGAAGAGAGAGUAAGAGAGGGCGUGAGAAU